rnacentral:rRNA from 1 species
UACGUAGGGUCCGAGCGUUGUCCGGAAUUACUGGGCGUAAAGAGCUCGUAGGUGGUUUGUCGCGUUGUUCGUGAAAACUCACAGCUUAACUGUGGGCGUGCGGGCGAUACGGGCAGACUGGAGUACUGCAGGGGGAGACUGGAAUUCCUGGUGUAGCGGUGGAAUGCGCAGAGUAUCAGGAGGAACACCGGUGGCGAAGGCGGGUCUCUGGGCAGUAACUGACGCUGAGAGCGAACGAGCGUGGGGAGCAACAGG